GCAGUGACUGACUGGUGUUCUCACACAAGGUGGCCAAGGUGCAGAACAGCAGUUCCUCUUUUGACCCUGGCAAUCUCUUUGAACUGUGUGGAAAGCUGGGCCAGGGUGAGCAUAUUGACAAACGCUUUUGGGAACCUGCAGUUGCAAGGAGAGUCCUACCAAGGGGGUUCUGGGUGAGUAGGGUCCCAGGCUUCUGUGGACUGCUCUUAUGGGGUAGGGCUUUGCACUCCCUGGUAAGGGAAGAAGUAGGGAUCACCAGUCUCCACAAUUAUUUUCUCCAGUGGAUAUGUUUCAGAGACUCAGUCCUCCUAGGCAGAAGAGAACAUCAGGAAUGCCCACAGACAUGUUCGGCAAUGCAUCAGUGUCCAAGGAUCACAGAAGUCUGAGAUGCAGCCCUGAAAACUCCUUAGGGAAGGAACUGCUAUAAAUUUUCCUGAACUUUGUAAAGGUUCUUUCAGUUUUUUGAGACAGAGUCUUGUUAUGUAUUCCAGGCUGGCCUUGAAAUCACAGCAAUCCUCCUGCCUCAGCCUCCCAAAUGCUGAGAUUAUAGGCACAGCAUCCUGCCCAGACAGUAAAAGUCCCUUUGAAAGACAACAUGGAAUAUAGCAUGUCCAAGUGACAGUGCUUAUUGGUGAAGCCCUCCUGUAGGCUUGGCUCCCGGUG
ensembl:lncRNA